rnacentral:rRNA from 1 species
CGCUGGCGGCGUGCCUAACACAUGCAAGUCGAGCGAGGAGAUCCUUCGGGAUGAUCCUAGCGGCGGACGGGUGAGUAACACGUGGGCAACCUGCCUCAUAGAGAGGAAUAGCCUUCCGAAAGGGAGAUUAAUACCUCAUAACAUUGCAGUUUCGCAUGGAACAGCAAUUAAAGGAGCAAUCCACUAUGAGAUGGGCCCGCGGCGCAUUAGCUAGUUGGUGAGGUAACGGCUCACCAAGGCGACGAUGCGUAGCCGACCUGAGAGGGUGAUCGGCCACAUUGGGACUGAGACACGGCCCAGACUCCUACGGGAGGCAGCAGUGGGGAAUAUUGCACAAUGGGGGAAACCCUGAUGCAGCCAACGCCGCGUGAGUGAUGACGGUCUUCGGAUUGUAAAGCUCUGUCUUCAGGGACGAUAAUGACGGUACCUGAGGAGGAAGCCACGGCUAACUACGUGCCAGCCGCUGC